CUUUAAGAAUGUUUUUGAAGUACAAUGUAAUCAAAUAUGAUAAUAUGAAUAUUUUGAAUGAAAAGUUCUUGUUUGUGAAAUUAGUAUGUUCUUCAAAUAUGCACAACUUUAUCUACUUCACCUUAUCUUACUUGGGGAAUGGCUCUAUGUUGACUUGACAGGAACAUGGUUUCAGGACAGGCAGUCCGGCUGGACAACUUGACUCCCACGAACUAGAUGAGGUAACUGGAAUACAUCUUCUUCAUGCAAAUUUGAAGGGGAUGGUGAAUGGAGCAGUUGAGACGUGCAAAGAGAGCUUUCAUAGGUUUGAUACUUACCUCAAUUUCUCAAACCCAAAAAUCUCUGAAAAUUUUGAUCCACAAGCUUGUCGAUGGGCAUUUGGGAUGAACAUCUUUGACUUGAAGGAAUGGAA